UACGUAGGGUGCGAGCGUUAAUCGGAAUUACUGGGCGUAAAGCGUGCGCAGGCGGUUGGUUAAGUCUGAUGUGAAAGCCCCGGGCUCAACCUGGGAAUGGCAUUGGAAACUGGCUGGCUAGAGUGUGGCAGAGGGGGGUGGAAUUCCGCGUGUAGCAGUGAAAUGCGUAGAGAUGCGGAGGAACACCGAUGGCGAAGGCAGCCCCCUGGGCUGACACUGACGCUCAGGCACGAAAGCGUGGGGAGCAAACAGG
rnacentral:rRNA from 1 species